rnacentral:rRNA from 1 species
UACGUAGGGUGCGAGCGUUAAUCGGAAUUACUGGGCGUAAAGCGUGCGUAGGUGGUUCGUUGUGUCUGUGGUGAAAGCCCCGGGCUUAACCUGGGAAUGGCCAUGGAAACUGGCGAGCUGGAGUCUGGCAGAGGGGGGGUGGAAUUCCGCGUGUAGCAGUGAAAUGCGUAGAGAUGCGGAGGAACACCGAUGGCGAAGGCAGCCCCCUGGGCUAAGACUGACGCUGAGGCACGAAAGCGUGGGGAGCAAACAGG